rnacentral:rRNA from 1 species
GCAAUGCCGCGUGAGUGAAGAAGGCCUUCGGUUGUAAGACUCUUUCAAUCGAGAAGAAAAAAUACAUGACUAAUAAUCAUGAUUAAUGACGGUAUCGAUAGAAGAAGCACCGGCUAACUACGUGCCAGCAGCCGCGGUAAUACGUAGGGUGCUAGCGUUAAUCGGAAUUACUGGGCGUAAAGGGUGCGCAGGCGGUUUUGUAAGUCAGAUGUGAAAUCCCCGGGCUUAACCUGGGGAAUUGCGUUUGAAACUACAAAACUAGAGUGUAGCAGAGGGAGGUGGAAUUUCAUGUGUAGCAGUGAAAUGCGUAGAGAUAUGGAAGAACAUCGAUGGCGAAGGCAGCCUCCUGGGUUAACACUGACGCUCAUGCACGAAAGCGUGGGGAGCAAACAGGAUUAGAUACCCUGGUAGUCCACGCCCUAAACUAUGUCAACUAGUUGUUGGGCUUUAAAAAGCUUGGUAACGUAGCUAACGCGUGAAGUUGACCGCCUGGGGAGUACGGUCGCAAGAUUAAAACUCAAAGGAAUUGACGGGG